UACGGACGGGGCAAGCGUUGUUCGGAAUUACUGGGCGUAAAGCGCGCGUAGGCGGACCUGCAAGUCGGGGGUGAAAGCCCGAGGCUCAACCUCGGAACUGCCUUCGAUACUGCGGGUCUCGAGUCCGGGAGAGGUGAGUGGAAUUCCUAGUGUAGAGGUGAAAUUCGUAGAUAUUAGGAAGAACACCAGUGGCGAAGGCGGCUCACUGGCCCGGUACUGACGCUGAGGCGCGAAAGCGUGGGGAGCAAACAGG
rnacentral:rRNA from 1 species